rnacentral:tRNA from 1 species
GCGGGGGUGCCCGAGCGGCCAAAGGGGCCGGACUUAGGAUCCGGUGGCUUAGUGCCUUCCUGGGUUCGAAUCCCAGCCCCCGCA